GGCAGGUCUGUUAGCGAGCCCGGGGGAACGGGUAAUCCGGGGCGUGACACAUAAACACCCUCUUUACCCUCCUCCGCCGCCUCGCCUUCACCCUCGUUACCUUUGCCCACCUCUCCAUCCACAUCCACAUCGAUUUCCUCCCUACUGUCGCCAAAAUAGAGAGGCGACGAGGGUACAGAAGAAGAAAAUGAGCAAAUGGAGAAGAAAAUAGAGAGGAACUUCGGCCGAUCGAGGCGGCGGAAAAGCAAGAUGAGAGAGAAGACGAAAAAGGUGAGGGGCAAAAUGAUCAUUUUGUCAUCACAGUUCACACCGUACCCCCUGUAAACAUUUUUCAUUUUAUAAGGAGCCAAGGUGUAGAUUUUUAAAUGACAAGAGGGGAAGUGAAAAAUCGAAUUUUGACAUAAGAGUUUUACGUAAUUUAGCCUUAAUAAAUUGUUGAUGUAAAAAUGAUAUAGCAUCUUAAUUAUUAUUGCAUUAUCAAUCACAACACUUCAUAUCACUUGUAUAUUAAUAAUUUGUCAAUAUUUAGCCAAUUAAAUAAGAUUAUAAAACUUAAUUGUAAUUGUUGUCGCAUUUUUAUUUUUAUUAUUAAAUGUGAAUUUUAAUUUUUAUAACCCUCGCAUGAAGAUGACAUAAUCUAUACUCUAACAUUUAUGGUUACAAAAUGCAUUCACUUAACUUGCAUUCAUUCGUACAACCAUGAGAUCUAACGUGUAUAUUUAGUGCUCCUGCCGUUCUCUUCCACUCCUAUAACUCUUCACCAUUUAACUCUUGUAACUUUCACAUUUAUUUAGAAAGUUAAUAUCAUAUAACUUCUAAUUCUAUGAGCCUACAUAUAUAGUGUGCAUUUCGUUCUUUGAAACGAUGAAAAAAACAAUAAGUUAUUUCUAUUCUUGUGAGAGAGAGAAGGCCAAAGAAACGUGUUUUUUUUUGUGGAAUUUUGGGCUCAUCUACUUGUGUAAAGUUGAUAUAUGAAACCACACAACGAGUGUCGAAUCAUUGUAUCCCGAAGGGAACAAGUCAGUGCUCUACUGCAUCGGUUCAAAGGCUUUGCCAAACGCAGAGAGUUUAAAUCUCCUUAAAGAGAGCGAGAUUUUCGUGUCUCAGUUUGAUCAACUCGUUUAUACUUUUUAUAUUAUUUUGUAGUUAAUUUUUAUUUUUUGAAUAUAUACACCAACAGUAAUAGUUUAAAACUAGUGUAGAGAUCCGCGCGAUGCGGCGGGUAGAUAAUAGAAAUAAAAUUUUAAAUUUUUUUUGAGAUAAAAAAUUGUAGUGAAAAUUAAAAUUUUAAAAUGUACAUGUGUCCAUGGUGGCGAGGGGCGGCGAGGCGACAUUUGACGCGGUCGAGAAGGAAGCGGGCGACGCCAACGUCGAGGUCGGAGGAGGAGGGCGGCGGCGGCGGAGGCGAAGAGGUAAAGGAAGAAGGCGAUGUUGCAUGCGGCGGUGGCAGACGCAAGAUGGGAGGUUUGAGAAAGAGAGCGGCGGGAAGUUGAGGGGACGCGGGAUGGGAGGAGAGAGAGAGAGGAUGAAAGCAAAAUUAUAGGAUCAAAAUAUUUAGGAGUUACUAUAUAUGUAACUUGAAAUAAUUUUAAAAAUGAAUGAGAUUUAAAAAAUAUAAAUAAUAGAAUUAAUGUUACAGUUACUCAAUAAGAUAUAGUUUUAGAAAGAAAGUUGGUGGGUCAUUAAAUAGUAACAAAUAAUAAAUUAAUUUGUAAAAUAUAAUGAGAAAAAAUAUGAAAAGGCUAUUCUUAGUCAGAAAUGACAACAACUAUAUAUGGAGCCUAUUUUGAAAAUGAGAGAUGGACCAUAUUUGGUAUAAUUUGACAAUUAAUUAUCAUAGUUUAUAAUAAUUGAUCAAGCAAUUAUGAGGAACCGUUUUCUAAUUUAGAAGGUUAAUUGCUAAUAGAAACAACUAGUAUGAAUUUGACAAUUAAUUAUCAUAGUUUAUAAUAAUUAAUCAAGUAAUUAUGAGGAACCGUUUUCUAAUUUAAAAAAUUAAUUGCUAAUAGAAACAGCUAGUAUGAAAUGUAGAUGGUUAUGUAGAAUUUGAAAUGCAAAUUAAAAAAAUUUUCUAAAAAAGGAAGUCAUGCCACCUCAGCUUUUGUUAUUAGGGAUCAAUAAAAAGUAAUAGAUAUUCGAAUUAGAAAUUACAAUAAAAGAAAAUUCAAAGAUCAAAAUGUCACACUCACGAUAAUUUGAGGACCAAAAAUGUAAUUUAUACUUUCUAUGUUUUUUUUAACUUUAGAUUAUCAUAUUGCCUUCUAUGUAACUCACGGUCUGAUGUGGUAUUAAUUGACAAGUUACUAAUUUUACAUUUAUAGAGAUGAAAUUUUCAAACCUAAAAACCUUUAAUAUUGAUAUGUACAAUUAAAUCUAUUAUUUGUAUGAUUUGUUAGGAAAAAUUCAUAAUUUAUCAACAUGUUAUUUGGGUAUUAAUAAGUCUAAAAAAAAUAUGGCAAGUUAAGAACUUUAUAAUCAACCACACAAGAAAAAGAUCAGGAAAAAAUUGAUGUUUACUUUCGAGUAAAUCUCCUAAGUGUGAUAAAUUAUAUUUAGAAAUUUAAAUGCGAAAAUAUGCUAGCUAGCAAUAGAUUUUUUAAUUUUUGUCAUUAUUGGUUAACUUAUAGUAUGUUUUUUUGAUUAGGUAAAGAUAACAAUUUCUUAUAAAGCAAUCAAACCAAAAAAAAAAAAGAAAAGAAGCUAGAGAGAUUACAACUUUCUCACCUGUUUGAGCUGCAAACAAAGAAUUUUAAAACAAAUGCGAACAAGCAUUCCAUUUUCCACUCUCACACUCUUGUUUUAAUUUAAUUCAACUAAACAAAAAAUAAUACUAAUUGAUUGCUUAUGCUUAAGGGUUUGUUUAGUUUCCAAAAAAUAUUUCAUAAAAUAGUUUUCUAACUGAAAUAAUAUUUUUCAUCCGUUUGCUUCUUAGAAAUGUAGUUUUUUUUUUUUUUGAAAAAAUCAGAUUUUAUAAAAAAAAAAACGAUUACUUUAAUUUUUAAAUUUUUUUAUACAGAAAAUAAAAACUGCAAAAAAAAAUAAGUUUGAUAAAAUAAAUUUCAAAAAAUUACUCUUUAUAUUUUUUUUGAAGAACAUGUACCCUCGAUCCACAAAACACGUACGUUCCAGGACGUUCGUAGGCACUAAUGAAGUGCCACGUCAUCUAAGCGGGCAAUUAAAAGCGGGUCUAGGGCGACGCAGCGAAUGAGAGCGUUUCUUCGCGGCACGGGCCCACCGCGGUGUAUGAGUAGUAUACGACUUAGUUUGGAAUUACAUAAAGAUUACGUUACGGGCUGUAAAAAAAUACAUUAGAAAAAUAUUCUAUUUAUUUCUGUAUAUAAUAUUACAUUCAGCAUAUCACGAUCAGUCAGUUACGAUAUAUACAUUAGCAUCUUUAUUCUCGUAUCCGUUUCGAAAAGCGUGCUAUGAAAGUGGGCCUGAUGUUGACUGUAUUUACGUGAAUUGCCACGGAAUGGAGGGUCGAGGUGACGUGUCGCCAGGGACAGGAACGCUGGAACGGCGCGUAACGGUUCGGGCGCGGACAAGUACGCGGUAACGGCGCGUAAUGGGUCGGGCGCGCCGCCGCUGAACGACACCGGGGAACGGGAAAAAGUGAACGGAAAUGUACGGCCAACGGGUUACGGUUGUUAAAGUGCAUCCACAACGUUCGACAAACACGGCAGUUUUGCUAUAAAUGACUAAUUGCAUAUUAAAUACAACAAUUUUGAAUACAACUUUUUGUAUUAUUCAAAAAAAAAUAAAUGUAUUUAUAUUUCAUACUGAAAAUUAUAUGUCAAAUAAUGUAUACCUAAUUAAGAGCAAGAAUUUAAGUAUCGUGAAACGAAAUCGUGUCAAAAAUUUACUGGCGCUGUAUAGUGUAGUGCGUGUCAGACGGUGCCGAUGUGUGCCGGUUAUAAAAAUACAUGUGUGCCGAUAUAUAAUUACAUACAAUGUUUAUUUUUUAAAAAAAUAAAAUAUUUUAAUUGCUUAUAAUAUAUAUUUGUUAAGUAGUUUGAAUUUUAUUAAAAAAACUACUUACUGUCACGCCCCGGAUGUCUCGUUCCCCGGGCACGCCGACAAAUCCGCCGUAUACAAAGAAAUUUUUCCUGUAUACUACAAAAAAAUUUUUCCUGUAUACGAAGCGACAGCUGUACCUGUAAACAUACAAUACUACAAACAAUAAUAUAGAGCUGCUCGAAUAAACAUAAGCUAAACGAACUGAGCUUCAUAUACAUAGUUCAAAAAUCAAAAUACAGAGUCACUCGCACUGGCGAGUUAAGUACUAUGUACAUAAGCUCGAAAUAAAACAACUACCUGCAGUAGGGUGCCUCUAGCUCUGCUCGGCGGGGAGGGCUCUAACUCACGACGCCCUUACCUCGAUCCUGAUCCGCGGAAGGCGCAGUAGCAGAAACCUGUGGCUCUGUAAAACAGGGGUAACAACUGGGCGUGAGAACUACUGUACAAACAAGUAGUACUCAGUGGGUACCGCCCAAAACAAAUAUCGGUCCACCCACUAAGUCUACAGAAAGGAGCAAGAAUAGUCGGAAAAGCAGGAAGUAAACUCUACCGCUAUCAAUCACUACACUAUCAUGCUAUACAUUAACCAACUGUAGGAAAUGUCAAAACUGACCCAAUCCAAUCGGGACUGUAAACCUACCCGUCCCUGGGACUGUGAAUACACCCGUCCCUGCCCAGUUACGACUAUCCAGCUACCUCCACACUAACUGGUCCGUGGAGAGCAAGUCCAACCGGUAUGAGCGACACCAACGCAAAAGUACAAAGCCCAUCUCCGGAGUGGCACUCGUGGGCGCUACCCAACCGAGUAUGCAGCGUAUCUCUGUCGAGCUCAAUCAGGCUCUGUCAAGCCAAAGUCCAAGUAACCGACUCUAACUGGUCUAACAACCAACAAGUAAUGUGCCCACGGCACCAUCUGACGCCAAAACGGCGAACCGAGCCCACCGUCAACCCCAAUAGCGCCCAAAAGUCCGAAACAGCCCAAACGACCCUGUAAAAAUCCACUCGGCGUACCAGCACGAGCGUAAAUGUAUGCUAAACUACCUGGAGUACUCGUCUCGAGGAUACUACGACAGUACAAUUUUAUAACGGCUCCUAGAGCUAAAUCAGGCAGUUUAAACAAGUGACAUGUCCAAAUCGCAGGUUUUCUCGUAAUUCAAAUUCUAAGUCCCACAUGUAUAACCUACUCAAUUUAUUACCACAUGCUCCAAAUUCAGAUUUGCAAUCUACCAUAUAAUCCAUGAAUUCGAGCUAGAAUAGAUUAUCCAAAAUCGAAAUCUAUAUAUGUCGACAAUUAUGAACUUAGGAGUAAAACCGAUGUAAACUCACCUCAAAGCUAAUUCCUGGCAGCACGGAACUCCCUUGGCUGCGGCACAACCUGCUGGAUCGACUAAAAAUGUCCGAGUCUCGAAAUCAAGCUAUCUCCAAGCUAUCAACAUCGAAAAUCCACAAUUCAGUCCAAAUACACAGCAGCAGAGAAGAGAAGGGUUUCGACCAAGCUAACCUUUACUAAAAUCCACAAGUAAGGGUUUCGUGGAUUCCUCUCGCAGUCCCGAAUCCAAUGAACCAAGUCUCGUCGCAAACCGAUGCUCCUACGUCGAGUACGAGCUGAAAUACUAACAGUCAACGAUGAAUUUCAGCAAACAACACUUAAGCUCGAAUUAAUGAUGCUUGGAGAAAUGAUGAAGCAAUUCGACGGAACAUUCACCUCGACAGUGACUAGCACCGGCGUGACGCCAAGAACAGCAAAGUCGCACCCUCGCCCGGCCUCCUCGCACUGCUCCGGCAACAAUCGUAUCCCCAAACGGCUCCGCGGCGCGACGUCGGCGACGAAUCCGAGCUUCUUCCUUGCCUUCAACCGGAUGAGAGUGAGAGAGAAAUGAAGAAAUGCAGCAAGAGAACUUCUCUCUCUCUACACGAAGCUAUAUAGAGAGAAGGUGUGUUGGUGAUACAAACGAGGGAGGGAAUUACCUAAAUAGCCCUCUACUUACCUCCUUGUACCGGUACACGGGCUCCUGUAUCGGUACAAGGGCCAACCCGAGAGCAGCUAAACCAGUGCACGCUGGUUGUACCGGUACAGCCACGCUGGUUGUACCGGUACAGCAAGCAAAGAAUUCUGCUGUUUUGCAGAAUUCUUCGCGAUAAGCUGCCCUCGCAUCGCACGGAGUCCGUUUUGCGUCUAUUUGACGCCAACGCAACUCGGACUUGUCCCGACACUCUCCAAAGCUGCCGACAAGCCGCCACAACAGAACACCAGGGAUCUCACACUUACUAAUUUAAAGAAAAAGGCAUUUUGGUAUGUGCCAUCGGUACGGAGAUUAUAUCAUGUCGAUAUCUUGUUAACACAAUACGGCACGGCAGAUACGAUAUAUUUUGAUGGGCACUUAAAUUCUUGAUUAAGAAGAUAAAGUACAUUUUAGCAAUUAUAUAUUCAAGUUUUUAAGUAUUAAACAAGAUUCGGAUUUUAAUGUGUUGGUGAUAUCUUUACAGCACAGUUUAUUAUUUUGGUUAAAAGCAAGGAUUUAAGUGCCGUGACACGGUGUCGUGGCGGAAACUUGCAAGUACGGUACAGCACGGUACGUGCUAAGCCGUGCCGAUGCUUGUCGAUCAAAAAAAUUCUUGUGUGCCGAUACAUAAUAGCAUGAAAUAUUUAUUUUUUUUAGCAAUAAAAUAUUCUAACUAUUUAUUAUGUCUUUUUAUCAUAUCUUUUGAACUUUAUUGAAGAAAUUACUUACUAAUUUAAAAAAUAGAGGGUUUUAAGUUGUGCCGUCGAUACGGGCUCUGUAUCGUGCAAGUAUCUUGUUGGUACGGUACAGUAUGGUGAAUACGGUCUGUGCCGACGGGUACUUAAAAUCUUGAUUAAAAGUGUUUUUGCAAGGGAAGCUCCCAGCAAAUUUACACAAAGUAUCAGAACAUGGUAGUAGCGCUUCUCCCGAAAGCAGAUUCGGGUGACACAUUAAUGAAAGUACCCAUCAAUUAGAAAAAGUUCCUUUGCAGAAGAAGCUACUAGAAAGUAGAAGCUUACUUGAAUAUUGUGCUAUCUCAACAGUCUCAAAUUGAAUAAUAUAAAAAAUAUAUAAUAAAUUUAUAAGCAACGGACACAUUAAUAAUAAUAACUGAGUUACCGACCGUCCCUAGAGCAAAUAGCAAAGAGCUUGGUGGUUGAUACGCGAGACCCAAAUUCGAAUCCUAGUUGAUUCACAUUUCCAGCUAAAUUUAUUUCUAAAUGAAAUAAACGAAACGAGUAACGUGCUACCUAUCUCUGAAAAAAAAAUAGGCUAAAUUACAGAAAACCCCCCUGUAAUAACCCGCUUUUUCACUUUCCCCCCUGACAUUUAAAAACCUACACUUUGCCCCCUUGUAAAAUGAAAAAUGUGCACUUCACCCCUACCGUUAGGGUUCCGUUAGGGGUUCUGUUAAAAAAUAUUUUUUUAUACCGAAAAUACCCCUCUGCCUCUUCUCUGAUGCUUCGCUCCCUCCAGCUCGCCGCUUCGCCGCCUCGCGGCCUCGCCGCUUCGCCGUCCUCCACUGCUUCGCGCUCGCCCACAUCCCUUUCGUUCUCCUCCGCCACCUCGCCUUCGCCCUCGUUGUCCCUGCCUACCUCUCCAUCAACACCCAUCUUAGUAUCCUCCCUACUGUCGCCGAAAUCGAUGGGCGGCGACGGUGUAGGAGGAGAAGGGGAGCAGGUGGAGAAGAAAUUGGAGAGGAAUCGUGGCCGAUUGAGGUGGAAAUAGCGGCGGAUCGAAGGGGCGGCUGAGGAAGCUCAGGAAGAAGACAACAAUGGCGAGGGGCAAAAUGGUCAUUUUACACACCGUGACCCCCCUGUGAACAUUUUUCAUUUUACAAGGGGGCAAAGUGUAGGUUUUUAAAUGUUAGGGGGGGAAAGUGAAAAAGCGGGUUAUUACAGGAGGGUUUUCUGUAAUUUAGCCAAAAAAAUAAUAACUGAGUUUAAUUAUUUUAAGUCGGUGGUUUAGAUCCAACGAGUUAUUAUUACUGGCGUGUCCGAUUAUCGUUUGAUAAAUUUGAAACUAUGUGUAUUAUUGGAUUGGACUGACGAGAAUGUGAGGCCCAAUGAGUUAUUAUUAUUAGCGGGAGAAAUCAUUACAAAUAUAAUAAUUAACUAUCUUCAUAUGUGUAUAUUUGUGUAUUUGUUGAUAAUAUUAACAUUUUUG
rnacentral:lncRNA from 1 species